CCUACGGGGGGCAGCAGUGAGGGAUAUUGGUCAAUGGGGGAAACCCUGAACCAGCAACGCCGCGUGAAGGAAGACGGUUUUCGGAUUGUAAACCUCUUUUCUCAGAGAAGAUAAUGACGGUAGCAGAGGAGGAAGCUCCGGCUAACUACGUGCCAGCAGCCGCGGUAAUACGUAGGGAGCAAGCGUUGUUCGGAUUUACUGGGUGUAAAGGGGGCGUAGGCGGGAUUGCAAGUCAGAAGUGAAAUCCAUGGGCUUAACCAUAGAACUGCAUUUGAAACUGUAAGUCUUGAGUGGAGUAGAGGUAGGCGGAAUUCCCGGUGUAGCGGUGAAAUGCGUAGAGAUCAGGAGGAACACCCAUGGCGAAGGCGGCUUACUAGACCAUAACUGACGUUGAGGCGCGAAAGCGUGGGGAGCAAACAGGAUUAGAUACCCGUGUAGUC
rnacentral:rRNA from 1 species